rfam:Ictidomys tridecemlineatus contig025889, whole genome shotgun sequence.
GGCGAUGUAGCUCAGUGGUGGAGCACUCGCCUAGCACAUGCGGGGCCCUGGGUUCAAUCCUCAGCAUCACGU